CCUACGGGAGGCAGCAGUGGGGAAUAUUGGACAAUGGGCGAAAGCCUGAUCCAGCCAUGCCGCGUGUGUGAAGAAGGCCUUCGGGUUGUAAAGCACUUUCAGUGGGGAAGAAAGCCUUGGGGCUAAUACCCUCGAGGAAGGACAUCACCCACAGAAGAAGCACCGGCUAACUCCGUGCCGGCAGCCGCGGUAAUACGGAGGGUGCGAGCGUUAAUCGGAAUUACUGGGCGUAAAGCGCGCGUAGGCGGUCUGAUAAGCCGGUUGUGAAAGCCCCGGGCUCAACCUGGGAACGGGCAUCCGGAACUGUCAGGCUAGAGUGCAGGAGAGGAAGGUAGAAUUCCCGGUGUAGCGGUGAAAUGCGUAGAGAUCGGGAGGAAUACCAGUGGCGAAGGCGGCCUUCUGGACUGACACUGACGCUGAGGUGCGAAAGCGUGGGUAGCAAACAGGAUUAGAUACCCUAGUAGUC
rnacentral:rRNA from 1 species